GCCGGGCGCGGUGGCGCAUGCCUGUAGUCCCAGCUACUCAGGAGGCUGAGGCUGGAGGAUCUCUUGAGCCUAGGAGUUCUGGGCUGUAGUACUCUAUGCCGAUCUGCUGUCCGCACUAAGUUUGGCAUCAAUAUGGUGACCUCCAGGGAGCGGAGGACCACCAGUUUGCCUAAGGAGGGGUGAACCGGCCCAGGUCGGAAACGGAGCAGGUCAAAACUCCCAUGCUGAUCAGUAAUGGGAUCGCGCCUGUGAAUAGCCACUGCACUCCAGCCUGGGCAACAUAGUGAGACCCCGUCUCU
rnacentral:SRP_RNA from 1 species